rnacentral:lncRNA from 11 species
AUAAAUAUGUGAAGCUUUUAUAGAACACCUAGUUUUUUCAUAUAAAAGAGCUAUCUUGCUAUUUUAUUAUUCAAUAAUUUAUAUCCUAUUUUCGUUCUGAGAUGGCAUCCAAAUCUGUUUACAAUAAUUUCAAAAAGAUUAAAGUAUUAGAUCAAAAAUAAUUAAAUUAUAAUAUUAUAAUUAUUAUAUUUUUAAAAAUAUAUGCUUGCAAACAUCUUAAUGCAUCUUGCUUUUAUAUAUACAGUAGAGUCUCACUUAUCCAACAUAAACGGGCCGGCAGAACGUUGGAUAAGCGAAAAUGUUGGAUAAUAAGGAGGGAUUAAGGAAAUGCCUAUUAAAAAUCAAAUUACGUUAUGAUUUUACAAAUUAAACACCAAAACAUCAUGUUUUACAACAAAUUAACAGAAAAAGCAGUUUAAUACAUGGUAACAUUAUGUAGUAAUUACUGUAUUUACGAAUUUAUAGCAUCAAAACAUUGCAGUGUAUUGAAAACAUUGACUACAAAACACUGACUACUAAAAGGCAAACUGUGCUGGAUAAUACAGAACGUUGGAUAAGCGAGACUUUAUUGUCUUGCCUCACUUUGCUUGCUAAAUUAGCUCAGAAUGAACACAAGGGACUGAUAUACAGAAUAGCUGUCCUGGCUCUUUAAAUUUAAAAAAACUCACCUUUUCCUUCAGUCCUACAUCAUGGUUGCUAGGUGAUCUAAAAACAUUUCAUUUGUAAGGAAGUCAGGUUUAGAACCACAUUCCAAAGCAUGAGACAGUUGUGGCUUAGACAAACACUACUUUUCUGGAUAUAUUCGCACUGCUGAACAAUCCAAGCUUUCUGUAACAAUAAAAGUUUUGAAGAAAGGAAUUAUGCCAAAACUAAAGGGAAAAUCAAAAGCCAGUUCAGAUAUCUAUGUUCUUGAAAAGUUCCUGAGGACGUAUGAAAAGCAUUGCACGAUGUCCCAAACUUGUGUCAGCCCAACUAUCAAACAAAGCCUUCGGCAAUGUAUAGCAAAUGAUACAUUAAUCACUAAGUUUGUGAUUACCGAUGUGAAAACAGCAUCAAAAAAUUUGCAUCCUGUGCUUCUCACUCCUCUACUAAGGACAAUUCGAGAUGAGCGAUAUCAGUUGGGAAAGGAGCUCUGCAUCUGGGGAAUCCAGAUUAACCCUCAAGAUAUCGCUAAUCUUGCAAUCCUGCUUGAGCUCGAUGGGCGCACCAUCUACCCAUUUUCCAAAUUAGAAAUAACUCAUCACGUUUUAGAUCUCUGGAGUAUGGAGAGACUCGGAGUAGCUUUACCUUACAGCAAUCUGAAUUCUCUUAUACUGGAUUAUUCCAAGUGUGGAGAUAACGGUGUGAGUAAACUUAUUUGUGGAUUAGAAGGGAACAGAAAGCUUUUAACCCUCAGCCUCUGCUACUGUGAUUUAGGACCUCAAAGUGGAUCCAUAUUAGCAACUCUUAUUAUCCAGACUGCUAUUUGCAACCUGUUCCUCAGUGGCAACCGCUUACAAUGCUUGGGUGCCGCAGAACUCCUCAAACCAUUAUCAGAAUAUGCAAAAAAGCUUGGAGAAGAAAAAAGGUCAAAUGUCUUGGUGUGCAGUAAUAAUACUUCCCACUACACUCUUGAAGCAAACAAAGAUGCAAGCAUCAACUCAAAAGUUGUUCAUAGAAACACCGCUUCCAAACUGAACGGCUCUACGGAUACUGCAUUAGAAAGCACCAGGAAGAAAAAGAAAACAAAAGGCUUAAAGAAGAAAUGUAAGAAGUGUGACUUUGGUCCAUGGUUAGCAAAACUGCAUUUGGCUGACAAUGCCAUAGAUGGAAGGUUUAAACAAAGAGAAGAAAACUUGUGGGAGUUCAUUCGGUUUUUGACUUGUCUAAUCAAGAAUUCUGACAACCUAGUAGAAGUUGAUAUUGAUGGCAAUGCUAUAGGGGAGCAGUGUGCUAUCAAGAUAUUAGAAGCUCUUAAGGACCGAAAGAAAGAAGAAAUGCCACACUUAAAAAUUAAGGUUACCCCACAGAUUUCAGCACCAACUUUUGAGCACAUUUUUAUGAUUUCCUCAAAAAGCAGUCCAGCUAAAAAAAGAAAAAAGAAAAUUAAGUGAUUAUAAAGUUCCUGUGAUUUCAGAAGAUGUAAAAUUCAAGAGGUUAACAAACUUCAGCAAUUAUUUACAUGAUGCUCUACUUUUGGAAAUACUAUGCUGUGUUCUCGGUUCUUCUUAUGAAUAUCCAGAAUAACUUUAGAUAUAUUUUUACACUUUUAGAAGCUUUAUUUAUUGCAUUAAAAUAAAAUUAUGCUACUGCCUACAAAUAAAAAAUAAAUACACUGCAUAGCAAUACCCACACUGGCUCUCUUCUACUCAUAUUAUUUUGAAGUUGGAUAUCAGUGUCAUUUAUAAAUGCCUACUCCGUGUAUUGCAAAGUUU